ACUUCCAGAAUCUUGCGGGCCCAGCUACAGUUCUCUGACGGCCAUUGGGCAUCUCUGGUUUCAUUCAUUUUGUGGUGCUGGCGUUCACCCUGAGCCUGCCCACCAUAGCAAGGCUUCAUCCGCACGCUGGUAGUAGCAUCUUCCCAGACAGCCCUCCUAUACCGAGAUGCUAACAGGACCUUAACCAUCUGAGCUGUAAGCAGCAGUCACCUCAUGCUCCCUCCCACGCAUUGCCUUCUCUGCCACGAUGGACUGUGCCCUCUCAAACCAAGAGCCAGAAUAAAUCUUUGCAGCCCUAAGCGGCUUCCCGUCAGGUGCCCGAUAACAGCAGCUUCUGAGGCAUGGGUGACCUCAGGAUGGACACUGAAAAUGGGAGCUCAAUCCUCUGACGAUGCAGGGACAGUGAUGUCUGAGCUGUAUCCAGGGGGGCUGCUGAAUUAAGCAACUCUGUUACAAAUUGUCACCUAAGUGAGUUUGGGGAACAUUUGUCUGCCCUGCAUUCAUCCUGACAACAGCUUGAGUCCAAAACCAUUGGAAAAAUCGUUCACUCACGGGAGAAUCGUCAGUGAACCUUUAUACAAAUGUGUCUUUGGAGCUAUGGGAAAAACACUGAAACUAUGGAGUAAGAUCUGAGGGAGGAAAGCAUGAACGUGGAGUCGGCCGGGAAUGGCGUCUGGUGGUUCUUCUUCCUGCACACUGGUCCGUCAUGCAUCGGAACCGCCUGUGCAGUUCUUGCAUGAGCAGCUCUCCAGCCUGGACUGAUGGUGAUGGGCCAGAGAGAACAACAAGGAAGCCAGGGGACGACCUUGAACUGAACGGUACCAGGUCAGGUCAGAGACAGCCAGACACUACCCGGACAGCGGCAACAUUGUUGCCCCACAAUAUUGUCUGUCUCCAAAGAUGCUUUUCAGACAAAUUCAGGAGGUGUGUAUGUGACUUUAAGGAAAUGAGGACAGGAGGCUCACAUGUGCCACUAUUUACCUCUGUGUGGAUAGAUCUUGCUCUGUGACUAGAGCAGCAGCUCUCAACCUGUGAAUCACAGCCUCUUCGGCAAACCUCUAUCUCCAAAGAUACCUACAUUAUGUUUCAUAACAGUAGCAAAAUACAGUUAUUAAGUAGAAAAUGCCUGUGUGGUUGGGGGUCACCACAUCAUGAGGAACUGUAUCUAAGGAUCUCAGCAACAAAGUUGAGAGCCACUGGACUAGAGGGUGACCUCCCAGUCACAGAGCAAACUAGAGCCAGGGCUUCACAGAAGCCCUAAUGGAGUUUAUAAAUGCUGCUUUUAUUGUAAUUGAUCCAUCCCUUGGUUGGGGUGAUGAAAUGCAAAUGCAGAGAUUCCAAACACCUGGUUCCAGCUGAGAAGAUGUUUUGUUUGUCUGUUUGUCCUCUUAAAGUUAAUGUCUCCAUAAGA